rnacentral:rRNA from 1 species
GUGAGGAAUUUUCCGCAAUGGGCGAAAGACUGACCCAGCCAUGCCGCGUGCAGGAAGACGGCCCUCUGGGUUGUAAACUGCUUUUAUCUGGGAAGAAAAAGGCCAUGCGUGGCAAAUUGCCGGUACCAGAUGAAUAAGCACCGGCUAACUCCGUGCCAGCAGCCGCGGUAAUACGGAGGGUGCGAGCGUUGUCCGGAUUUAUUGGGUUUAAAGGGUGCGUAGGCGGCUGAUUAAGUCAGCGGUGAAAGACUUCGGCUUAACCGGAGCAGUGCCGUUGAUACUGGUUGGCUUGAGUGUCGGAGGGGUACAUGGAAUUGAUGGUGUAGCGGUGAAAUGCAUAGAUACCAUCAGGAACACCGAUAGCGAAGGCAUUGUACUGGCCGACAACUGACGCUGAUGCACGAAAGUGUGGGGAUCGAACAGGAUUAGAAACCCCAGUAGUCC